AAAAUUUAUUACAUCAUAUGUCUACCUCUAUUAGAGAUAAACCCAUGUUAAACCCAAAGAGAGGUGGAAUAUAUGAAGUAGGAAAUGCCAUAGAUAUCCAUCAUAAGGUAGAUGAAUUGUCCCAAAAAUUAGAUCGUCUUCUAAAUACUGGACAAUCCCCGAUUCCACCUAACCCAAUCCAAGAAGUUUGUGCAUUGUGUGCAAGUCCGAACCAUUUUGUUAGUGAAUGCCCAGCUGCACCU
rnacentral:lncRNA from 1 species